rnacentral:rRNA from 1 species
ACGUAGGAGGCAAACGUUAUCCGGAUUUACUGGGCGUAAAGCGCGUGUAGGUGGUUCUGUAAGUAGGGCGUGAAAGCUCCCGGCUCAACUGGGAGAGGCCGUUCUAAACUGCAGAACUAGAGGAUGGUAGAGGGAGGUGGAAUUUCAGGUGUAGCGGUUGAAUGCGCAGAUAUCGGAAGGAAUAACAGUGGCGAAAGCGGCCUCCGGGACCAUUCUUCAGCCUCAGGCGCGAAAGCUAGUGUAGCAAACGG